AGUAACACGUGGGGAACCUGCCCCAUAGUCUGGGAUACCACUGAAACAGGUGCUAAUACCGGAUAAGAAAGCAGAUCGCAUGAUCAGCUUUUAAAAGCGGCGUAAGCUGUCGCUAUGGGAUGGCCCCGCGGUGCAUUAGCUAGUUGGUAAGGUAAAGGCUUACCAAGGCGAUGAUGCAUAGCCGAGUUGAGAGACUGAUCGGCCACAUUGGGACUGAGACACGGCCCAAACUCCUACGGGAGGCAGCAGUAGGGAAUCUUCCACAAUGGACGCAAGUCUGAUGGAGCAACGCCGCGUGAGUGAAGAAGGUUUUCGGAUCGUAAAGCUCUGUUGUUGGUGAAGAAGGAUAGAGGUAGUAACUGGCCUUUAUUUGACGGUAAUCAACCAGAAAGUCACGGCUAACUACGUGCCAGCAGCCGCGGUAAUACGUAGGUGGCAAGCGUUGUCCGGAUUUAUUGGGCGUAAAGCGAGCGCAGGCGGAAGAAUAAGUCUGAUGUGAAAGCCCUCGGCUUAACCGAGGAACUGCAUCGGAAACUGUUUUUCUUGAGUGCAGAAGAGGAGAGUGGAACUCCAUGUGUAGCGGUGGAAUGCGUAGAUAUAUGAAGAACACCAGUGGCGAAGGCGGCUCUCUGGUCUGCAACUGACGCUGAGGCUCGAAAGCAUGGGUAG
rnacentral:rRNA from 1 species